UAUCAUUAGUUUGCACAAAGUUGUCAGUACCAAUUCAAUUUUUUUUUUAUUACAAUGAAGUUCGUCUUUUUUACCAUUCUCGCGGUAUUUGGAGUAGUUGCUGCUGUUGGUGGAUCCGCUAUUGAUACUUCGACACCAGAUUUGGCAUCAUUAUUUAAAUCGCUGAAAUCAACAAACAAUCAAAACACAAACGGGGCAACUAUUAGUGAAUUUUUUACCCAUUGCCCGGAUGCAAAUCUACACUUUGCACUUUGUUUUAGUGCUGCAAAUCCAGGCAACGAUGAGUGUGCGGCGAUUCGAGCUAUGAUAGAUUGCAUGGAAAGAGCUAUUGCAGCUUACGAAUCCACAUGUACUGGUGCUGAACAGGGACGUGCGGAAGUGGAACUACUGCGAGUAGAGCUUGUAGAACGUGGCUGUGCUAUUGCUAGUGGUACUGCUUCAGUUGUUGCCGGAUUUUUACCAGUGCUUGUGAUGACAAUUUUAAAUUUACUCCGUUGGAUAUAAUGGCUCAUUAUAAAAUAUAAGACAAAGUUAAUUUCUAACUUCCGACUCAUUUGACACGAUUGUGAUAAAUUCAAACGAAAAAUACAAACGAAACGAUUUAACGCCUGAAACAUUUGA